ensembl:lncRNA
AUCCACUCCUCGACUGCUGACGUCUGACGUUACGCUGCAGAGUGGCAGCGUUAUCCGCCAGCAUUCAAACAUGUUUGUAUACACACUCAGGGGGCACCUCUUCAUGCUGACUUUGCUGAUAGCAGAAAUAAAUUCAGAGACCCAUCAGUCAGAAAGAUAACUUGGGACUGAUGAAGCCCAGAGAUGUGUGAGCUGCCAUCCAUGGCUCAUCUGGCCCAUGACGGCCCCCAGGCGACAGCUGUCACCAGCAGAGCAGACCUCCUGCUCCUGGCUGCGGUUACCAUUGGGCUGAGGCCAGCUAAUGAGGACAUUAUCAGAUCAGUGUCUUCAGCCUGACACAAGCCUAGCCGCCAGCACAACUGAUUCGACCUUUUCCCACCUGCUCUCAAGAUGAACGACCAGGAGCUUCACACAAUAUAGUCACAGGAGAAGGGAGGUCAUGGAUAUUGUAUAUUAUUCCCAGGAAAUGAAUAGCUUCAGAGAUGAAAAAGGAAGCCAGUGUGAGUCAUGAUGUGCAGCAUUGUAAAAUUUC